AGAGUUUGAUCAUGGCUCAGAAUGAACGCUGGCGGCGUGCUUAACACAUGCAAGUCGUACGAGAACUCCUUAGCUUGCUAAGGAAAGUAAAGUGGCGUACGGGUGAGUAACGCGUGGGUAAUCUACCCCAUAAUUUGGGAUAACAUUGCGAAAGCGAUGCUAAUACCGAAUAAUAUCUGAUAACUACGGUUAUUCAGAUCAAAGGUGGCCUCUAUAUAUAAGCUACUGUUUUGGGAUGAGCCCGCGUACCAUUAGCUUGUUGGUAGGGUAAUGGCCUACCAAGGCUACGAUGGUUAGCUGGUCUGAGAGGAUGAUCAGCCACACUGGAACUGGCACACGGUCCAGACUCCUACGGGAGGCAGCAGUGGGGAAUUUUGCGCAAUGGGGGAAACCCUGACGCAGCAACGCCGCGUGAGUGAUGAAGGCUCUUGGGUCGUAAAGCUCUGUUAAGUGGGAAGAACCAAAAAAUGUAAAUAUCAUUUUUUCUGACGGUACCACUAGAGGAAGCACCGGCUAACUCCGUGCCAGCAGCCGCGGUAAUACGGGGGGUGCAAGCGUUAUUCGGAAUUAUUGGGCCUAAAGGGCGCGCAGGCCGCCGCUUAAGUCA
rnacentral:rRNA from 1 species